AGCGAACGCUGGCGGCAGGCCUAACACAUGCAAGUCGAACGAACCCUUCGGGGUUAGUGGCGGACGGGUGAGUAACACGUGGGAACGUGCCUUUAGGUUCGAAAUAACUCAGGGAAACUUGUGCUAAUACCGAAUGUGCCCUUCGGGGGAAAGAUUUAUCGCCUUUAGAGCGGCCCGCGUCUGAUUAGCUAGUUGGUGAGGUAAUGGCUCACCAAUGCUACGAUCAGUAGCUGGUCUGAGAGGAUGACCAGCCACAUUGGGACUGAGACACGGCCCAAACUCCUACGGGAGGCAGCAGUGGGGAAUCUUGCGCAAUGGGCGAAAGCCUGACGCAGCCAUGCCGCGUGGAUGAUGAAGGUCUUAGGAUUGUAAAAUCCUUUCACCGGUGAAGAUAAUGACUGUAGCCGGAGAAGAAGCCCCGGCUAACUUCGUGCCAGCAGCCGCCGUAACAC
rnacentral:rRNA from 1 species